GGGCCCGCACAAGCGGUGGAGUAUGUGGUUUAAUUCGAUGCAACGCGAAGAACCUUACCAGGGUUUGACAUCCUGCGAAUCUCUUGGAAACAGGAGAGUGCCUUCGGGAACGCAGUGACAGGUGGUGCAUGGCUGUCGUCAGCUCGUGUCGUGAGAUGUUGGGUUAAGUCCCGCAACGAGCGCAACCCACGUCUUUAGUUGCCAGCAUUUAGUUGGGCACUCUAGAGAGACCGCCGGUGAUAAACCGGAGGAAGGUGUGGAUGACGUCAAGUCAUCAUGCCCCUUACAUCCUGGGCUACACACGUACUACAAUGCUACGGACAAAGGGCAGCAAACUCGCGAGAGCUAGCAAAUCCCAUAAACCGUGGCUCAGUUCAGAUCGUAGGCUGCAACUCGCCUACGUGAAGGAGGAAUCGCUAG
rnacentral:rRNA from 1 species